AGUGAACGCUGGCGGUAGGCCUAACACAUGCAAGUCGAACGGCAGCACAGUAAGAGCUUGCUCUUACGGGUGGCGAGUGGCGGACGGGUGAGGAAUACAUCGGAAUCUACUUUUUCGUGGGGGAUAACGUAGGGAAACUUACGCUAAUACCGCAUACGACCUACGGGUGAAAGCAGUGGAUCUUCGGACCUUGCGCGAUUGAAUGAGCCGAUGUCGGAUUAGCUAGUGGGCGGGGUAAAGGCCCACCAAGGCGACGAUCCGUAGCUGGUCUGAGAGGAUGAUCAGCCGCACUGGAACUGAGACACGGUCCAGACUCCUACGGGAGGCAGCAGUGGGGAAUAUUGGACAAUGGGCGCAAGCCUGAUCCAGCCAUACCGCGUGGGUGAAGAAGGCCUUCGGGUUGUAAAGCCCUUUUGUUGGGAAAGAAAAGCAGCAGGUUAAUACCCCGCUGUUCUGACGGUACCCAAAGAAUAAGCACCGGCUAACUUCGUG
rnacentral:rRNA from 1 species